ensembl:lncRNA
CUGCACUUAGGGGGACGAAGGGCUUGCUGCUAGACGAGCCCUGCGAGAACCCCCAGCCGCGCCCCCGCUCCUCACCCACCCCACGGUGGCGGUGGAGGAGGGAGGGGGGCGAUUGAUCGUCAAGCGACGCUCAGACAGGCGUAGCCCCGGGAGGAACCCGGGGCCGCAAGUGCGUUCGAAGUGUCGAUGAUCAAUGUGUCCUGCAAUUCACAUUAAUUCUCGCAGCUAGCUGUCGUUCUUCAUCGACGCACGAGCCGAGUGAUCCACCGCUAAGAGUCGUACGGUUUGGUUUGGCGGCCCACCUUUCGGUGGGUGUGCCAGAGGUGUGUGGCCACGGGCCACGGAGCAACGUUCAACAAACGGGGGUGGUUCGGGUUGAUCGAAGUCAACGGGAGGAAGUCGUAUAACUUCGUAUAAUGUAUGCUAUACGAAGUUAUUACGACGAACGAACGAACGGGGCUUCCAUCCUCCCUACCACCACCACCCCCCGCCCCCGACCGGCGGGAUUGGGCG